rnacentral:misc_RNA from 1 species
AAACCCCCUCAAGCUCUUUGGCUUGGUUAUGGAGGUUGAGCUACACCCUUCGGUGACCUCACCUUCGAAAUUCAGAGGCGGAUUGCCCCGCGUUGCCCCGGCGUUAUAAGUUCGCUCUUUCGCUUGGAUUACACGGCCAUCUCGCCGCAAAGCUCCAAUCAUCUA